AUUGAACGCUGGCGGCAUGCCUUACACAUGCAAGUCGAACGGCAGCACGGGUGCUUGCACCUGGUGGCGAGUGGCGAACGGGUGAGUAAUAUAUCGGAACAUACCCUAGAGUGGGGGAUAACGUAGCGAAAGUUACGCUAAUACCGCAUACGAACUAAGGUUGAAAGUGGGGGAUCGCAAGACCUCAUGCUCAUGGAGUGGCCGAUAUCUGAUUAGCUAGUUGGUGAGGUAAAGGCUCACCAAGGCGACGAUCAGUAGCUGGUUUGAGAGAACGACAAGCCACACUGGAACUGAGACACGGUCCAGACUCCUACGGGAGGCAGCAGUGGGGAAUUUUGGACAAUGGGGGCAACCCUGAUCCAGCAAUGCCGCGUGAGUGAAGAAGGCCCUCGGGUUGUAAAGCUCUUUUGUCAGGGAAGAAACGGUCUACUCUAAUACAGUGGGCUAAUGACGGUACCUGAAGAAUAAGCACCGGCUAACUACGUGCCAGCCGCCGCCGUAAGAC
rnacentral:rRNA from 1 species